rnacentral:ncRNA from 1 species
UGUCUUCAGGGCAGGGUGUGAUUCCCGACCGGCGGUACAGUCCGCGAGCCGUUUGGCAUGAACCGGUGCGAUUCCGGUACCGACAGUAGAGUCUGGAUGGAAGAAGAU